rnacentral:rRNA from 1 species
UACGAGGGGGGCGAGCGUUGUUCGGAAUUAUUGGGCGUAAAGGGUGCGUAGGCGGUUUGAUAAGUCUGAUGUGAAAUCUAUGGGCUCAACCCAUAGUCUGCAUUAGAAACUGUCGGGCUUGAGUAUGGGAGAGGUGCGUGGAAUUUCCGGUGUAGCGGUGAAAUGCGUAGAUAUCGGAAGGAACACCUGUGGCGAAAGCGGCGCACUGGACCAAAACUGACGCUGAGGCGCGAAAGCUAGGGGAGCAAACAGG